UUCUUGGAGAGUUUGAUCCUGGCUCAGGACGAACGCUGGCGGCGUGCCUAAUACAUGCAAGUCGAGCGAAUCUUUAGGAGCUUGCUCCUAUUGGUUAGCGGCGGACGGGUGAGUAACACGUGGGCAACCUGCCUGUAAGACUGGGAUAACUUCGGGAAACCGGAGCUAAUACCGGAUAAUUCUUUCCUACUCAUGUAGGAAAGCUGAAAGACGGUUUCGGCUGUCACUUACAGAUGGGCCCGCGGCGCAUUAGCUAGUUGGUGAGGUAACGGCUCACCAAGGCGACGAUGCGUAGCCGACCUGAGAGGGUGAUC
rnacentral:rRNA from 1 species